rnacentral:lncRNA from 1 species
GGGGCAGCUGCAGUGUUCUCUCUCCUGCUGCUUACCUCUUCGCCGGUGUAGACACAGGCAGAAUGCCUGCUCUACUUCCUCU